UUUAAUCUAAUAUGUGUCAUAUAAUUUAUCAUCCUCUUAAUCAUCUAACAACUCAUCAUCAUAGUAAUCGUAUCAAGUUAAAGUAUCAUAAAAUAGAAAAACAUCAUAAUCAUCAUCAUCUUAAUCGAUGGUGCCAGGUUAAUAUGUGUCAUAUAGACGAGAAAACUUCUCUCUCGUAGGACAUAGUCCUCUCUCCUAGGUAAAAUAUCAUAAAACAGAAAAACAUCUAAGUCUCCCUAAUGAAGCAAAGAGAUUCAACGGUCUUCAAGUUGUGGCUUGCGAUCCUUCUUUUUUCUCUUCGUGCUUCAAUUUGGAGUUUUUCUUGUGGUUGCGCUGAGUCGAGUAUUGAAAAACGAAAGGAAUGCACAUACGUCUUGUAAUUUCUUUCUCACCUCCGCAAUGCAUCAAUAGAGGCACAACAUCAUUUGGCAAUUUCUAUUGAAGAACAUAAUAGUAGCCUAGUUAUCAAUGUAAUUCAUAUAAUAGUAGCAUAAUUAGCCAUGUAAUUUACGUAAUAGUAGUGUAGUUAGUAACUCUUACCAAGAUAUUUGCGUGAAUGUCGUCAUCCCUCAACCUAUGCAUUAGUGACAUGUAUAAUGUAUAAUUUAGGCCAACUCCAUAGUGCAUGUCGGCCCUAGUAUACAGGACACCCUUAACAAAGGUGACAAGAGAAUCCUUCUCCUUCCAAGUUAUAUGUGAUCC
rnacentral:lncRNA from 1 species